rnacentral:rRNA from 1 species
UACGUAGGGGGCGAGCGUUGUCCGGAUUUAUUGGGCGUAAAGAGCGCGUAGGUGGCUCGACAAGUCGGAUGUGAAAACUCCAGGCUCAACCUGGAGACGCCACUCGAUACUGUCGUGGCUAGAGUUCGGUAGGGGAUCACGGAAUUCCUGGUGUAGCGGUGAAAUGCGGAGAUAUCAGGAGGAACACCGAUGGCGAAGGCAGUGAUCUGGGCCGAUACUGACACUGAGGCGCGAAAGCGUGGGUAGCGAACAGGAUUAGAAACCCGGUAGUCC